ACAGUAAUAUCUUUUUUCCAUUGCUGGGAUCUUCAGACCAGGUCAGAACACUGGAAUCAAGGUGGCUGGAACAUGAUUAGAACUCAAGGAUUAGAGAGCUGUGGGGUUUUUUUUUACCCAAAAUGGAAAUGCUGAUAGCUGGAAGAUGUUUAAACUAAAUCAGCAAAUGUGAUGGGAUUCCUGUGGAGCACAGCUGAAAACAGAUCUCUCCUUUAUGCAACAUCAGCUUCAAAAAACUAUGACUGAUCCACUCAUCCAGGUGUCAAGAAGCUAAGUACACAUGCAGUGGCAGGAAAAAAGACAGAACAUCUUGUGGCAGCAUGUACCAGGAGUUUUGGCUGCUGUUCUGCUGAGGUGGGCUGAGUGGACAUUGCAAUGCAGCUGGUCAAAGCACAGUAAAACAUCUGGAAAAGACACUUUUGGAGGGGUGGGGUAAUAUUGCUGGAAGCCCUGAUAUGCCAGAAUUUGCCAGCAAUUUUGUUACAAAUCUUGACCCAGAUCUGUGGGAACCUUGAAAUAAUGGAUGCAAACAUUUGUGGUUUGUGGGCUGGGUUGAGAGAAUUCAAACAACUUAGAGAGUUUGACAUGAAAAGUAACUUCAAUAUUUCUUUAAGAAUGGGUACUUUAUUAUGUAUAAUUUCUUGCCUAAAAAAUGCUAUAUGUUAUAUUCCAGAAUAAAAAAUACCAUUACUUUUUGAAA